CUCCAGACUCCUACGGGAGGCAGCAGUGGGGAAUAUUGCACAAUGGGGGAAACCCUGAUGCAGCGACGCCGCGUGAGUGAGGAAGUAUUUCGGUAUGUAAAGCUCUAUCAGCAGGGAAGAAAAUGACGGUACCUGACUAAGAAGCCCCGGCUAACUACGUGCCAGCAGCCGCGGUAAUACGUAGGGGGCAAGCGUUAUCCGGAUUUACUGGGUGUAAAGGGAGCGUAGACGGCAGUGCAAGUCCGGAGUGAAAGCCCGGGGCUCAACCCUGGGACUGCUCUGGAAACUGUAAAGCUGGAGUGCGGGAGGGGCAGGCGGAAUUCCUGGUGUAGCGGUGAAAUGCGUAGAUAUCAGGAGGAACACCGGCGGCGAAGGCGGCCUGCUGGACCGUAACUGACGUUGAGGCUCGAAAGCGUGGGGAGCAAACAGGAUUAGAUACCCGCGUAGU
rnacentral:rRNA from 1 species